rnacentral:misc_RNA from 1 species
UUUCCGUAGGUGAACCUGCGGAAGGAUCAUUAUUGAAUGAAACACUUCUAGCUUUAUGCUGUUGUGCUGGCCAUUUGGUCAAUGUGCACACGGCUCUGGUCACUUGUUUCUUCUGUUCCACCUGUUCGCUGCCUGUAGACACUCUGUGUCUAUGAUAUUUGUUAACACACAACUACGUUAGUUGGCAUGUUAUAUAUAAUAAUAAAAUAUACAACUUUCAACAACGGAUCUCUUGGCUCUG